UGCCAGACUCCUACGGGAGGCAGCAGUGGGGGAUAUUGCACAAUGGGGGGAACCCUGAUGCAGCGACGCCGCGUGGGUGAAGAAGCGCCUCGGCGCGUAAAGCCCUGUCAGCAGGGAAGAAAAUGACGGUACCUGAAGAAGAAGCCCCGGCUAACUACGUGCCAGCAGCCGCGGUAAUACGUAGGGGGCAAGCGUUAUCCGGAUUUACUGGGUGUAAAGGGGGCGCAGACGGCGAUGCAAGCCAGGAGUGAAAGCCCGUGGCUUAACUACGGGACUGCUCUGGAAACUGUGCAGCUAGAGUGCAGGAGAGGCAGGCGGAAUUCCUAGUGUAGCGGUGAAAUGCGUAGAUAUUAGGAGGAACACCGGUGGCGAAGGCGGCCUGCUGGACUGUAACUGACGCUGAGGCACGAAAGUGUGGGGAGCAAACAGGAUUAGAUACCCGAGUA
rnacentral:rRNA from 1 species